GUACAUAAUAAAAGAUGGUGAUGUGAAGAUAGCUGAAGAUCUCCAUUUUCUUUUCCCUGAAAGCAGCAGAGAAGGAAGGUCAAGGAGCUUGCCUGAUCUUGAAAGAGAAGAGAUGAAAAAUAUCUGUGAUGGGAGGAACUGAAGAACAUUUUCGAAGGGUUUUUACAGAGCUGCAGAUUAUAACUGUAUGACAAAAGUACAGUUCCCAGCACCUACAUCACUCACCUGGGAAUGAAAAAUGUCUCAGUGGGAGCUCCUAAUUACCCACACGAGUGGAACAGGAACUGUUUUAUUCUCCAAUACCGUUUUGUGGCAGAGUGGAAAGUCUCAAGGCAUUUCACACCCUAGGAAAGAAUCACUAUCCACACUUUACAAGUGGGAACAAGGCAUUGGAAGCAUCAGGAGAUGUCCCAAGGAGAAAUGGCAGAAGAGAAGAUACUCCCUCAAAGCCUGUCUGAUGACUAUCCACGAAGCCAAACUCUUUUGCUGGAGUAAGAGAUUCAGUUUACUGAGCAAUCGUGACUUGCUUCAAAACAUUUUAUCUGUUUAG
rnacentral:lncRNA from 1 species